GAACGCACCUUGCGCUCCUUGGUAUUCCGAGGAGCAUGCCUGUUUGAGAGUCAUGAAAUUCUCAACCUAUCUUGCUUUCACAAGUUUAGUUAGGCUUGGAUUUGGAGGUUGCUGGUUUCUCAGAAAUCAGCUCUUCUUAAAUGUAUUAGCAGAACCUUUGCUGAUUGUCUUUGGUAUGAUAAUUAUCUAUACCAUAGAAAAUUGGCGUCCUUCUUGGGAAGGUUUCGCUUCUAAUUGUCUAUUAAGACACUUUUGACAAUUUUGACCUCAAAUCAGGUAGGACUACCCGCUGAACUUAAG
rnacentral:misc_RNA from 1 species